rnacentral:rRNA from 1 species
GAUGAACGCUGGCGGCGUGCUUAACACAUGCAAGUCGAACGAGAAGUGAAGACGGAAACCUUCGGGCGGAAGGCUUUAUUUCGAGUGGCGGACGGGUGAGUAACGCGUGGGUAACCUGCCUCAUACAGGGGGAUAACAGUUGGAAACGACUGUUAAUACCGCAUAAGACCACAGCACCGCAUGGUGCGGGGGUAAAAACUCCGGUGGUAUGAGAUGGACCCGCGUUCGAUUAGCCAGUUGGCGGGGUAACGGCCCACCAAAGCGACGAUCGAUAGCCGAUCUGAGAGGAUGACCGGCCACAUUGGGACUGAGACACGGCCCGAACUCCUACGGGAGGCAGCAGUGGGGAAUAUUGCACAAUGGGGGAAACCCUGAUGCAGCGACGCCGCGUGAGUGAAGAAGUAUUUCGGUAUGUAAAGCUCUAUCAGCAGGGAAGAAAAUGACGGUACCUGAGUAAGAAGCCCCGGCUAACUACGUG